GGCUCGGUGGUGUAGCAGUAACACGUUCUGAAUUCCUACAUAGGUGUUUUGUUUUCGGGGGGGUACGGAGUUCGAUUCUCUGUCGAGCCA